rnacentral:ncRNA from 1 species
UCGAGCUGACACGGGGGCUGCGUCGGUGACGGUUACCGAUAUGGCUGAGAUGAGGGUUGUCCCUCGACCGGAUGAACGUGAUUCCAGAUAAUGCUGGCGCACGGAUGUCUAUUUUCCCGUGCC